GGAGCUCAGUGGUAGAGCGCCCGCUUUGCAUGCGGGAGGUCUGGGGUUCGAUCCCCCAUAUCUCCA